CCAGCCGGUCGGACGGCCGCUCCGGCAACGGUCGAAAGGCCGCCGGGGAGGAAAGUCCGGGCUCCACGGAAACACGGCGCCGGGUAACACCCGGCGGAGGCAACUCCAGGGAAAGUGCCACAGAAAACAAACCGCCGUCCGGUGACGGGCGGUAAGGGUGAAACGGUGGGGUAAGAGCCCACCGCGCGGCCGGCAACGGUCGUGGCACGGCAAACCCCGCCGGGAGCAAGACCGCAUAGGGGCGGUGGCCCGUUUCCGGCCGCUAAGCCGCCCGGGUAGGUCGCGCGAGGCGUGCGGCGACGCACGUCCCAGAUGAAUGGCCGUCACGUGGGGGUCACCCCGCCAUACAGAACCCGGCUUAUAGACCGGCUGGCGCU
rnacentral:RNase_P_RNA from 1 species